CUGACUUCAGGCCCCUUGUAGUGCUUUCCGGACAUCCUCUGCGCUCAUGAAGACGCUUUGCUCGCAGCCAGGGGAAAAAGAAAUGCAAGCAGGAGUGACUCGAGAAGAAAAACAGCAGAGCAGCACAGUGAAGGCUGUAGUUCCGACACUUAAAACAGGUGGACCAAUCUGAACUUUGAGGUGUUUCCAUCCAUUAUCUAGGAAGAAUCUGUCAAGGAUUAUUUGCACAACAUCAGGUUUCUAGCAGUGAAGCUUGGAAUUGGCCAGGAACAUCAGACCAAGCGAGGUCACAGCUCCAUGCAACAUGCUAACUGUGAAAGUGGUAUUUAAAAUGUCCAGCCUGCCACCUGUAGAGCAAGCAAUCCUGAUACUCAAAACUCAUGGUUUCUUGUGCUUGAGACAG